AGAUGCAAGGGUGAUCCUGCAGCAAUACCAGUCACCCUAUUGAUCACCAGGGUUGGUUCGGCUGAUCUGUCUAGGUGGGUGUCCCUUUCCUCCUUUACCACUCCAUGUGCCUCCCUGCUGAAGCUGCACACUUAGUGAAAGAGGACGACAACCCCAGAUAGAAGAGGAGCAUUUCCUUGGUCAGGGUAUUUGGGUAGUUAUGCUCCCCUGCAGGAAUCUCCAAACAAGCACUCAAGGUCCAUUUGAAAUAGUCUUGCAAAGUUGCCCAGACUGGCCUUGUC
rfam:Fukomys damarensis contig93703, whole genome shotgun sequence.